GACGAACGCUGGCGGCGUGCUUAACACAUGCAAGUCGAGCGGUAAGGCCCUUUCGGGGGUACACGAGCGGCGAACGGGUGAGUAACACGUGGGUGACCUGCCCUCAGCUCUGGGAUAAGCCUGGGAAACUGGGUCUAAUACUGGAUAUGACUCCACGGUGCAUGUCGUGGGGUGGAAAGCCUUGUGCGGCUGAGGACGGGCCCGCGGCCUAUCAGCUUGUUGGUGGGGUGANGGCCUACCAAGGCGACGACGGGUAGCCGGCCUGAGAGGGCGACCGGCCACACUGGGACUGAGACACGGCCCAGACUCCUACGGGAGGCAGCAGUGGGGAAUCUUGCGCAAUGGGCGAAAGCCUGACGCAGCGACGCCGCGUGAGGGAUGACGGCCU
rnacentral:rRNA from 1 species